CCUACGGGUGGCAGCAGUGGGGAAUAUUGCACAAUGGGGGAAACCCUGAUGCAGCGACGCCGCGUGAGUGAAGAAGUAUUUCGGUAUGUAAAGCUAUAUCAGCAGGGAAGAAAAUGACGGUACCUGACUAAGAAGCCCCGGCUAACUACGUGCCAGCAGCCGCGGUAAUACGUAGGGGGCAAGCGUUAUCCGGAUUACUGGGGGGAAAGGGAGCGUAGACGGCAGAGCAAGUAUGGAGUGAAAUGCCGGGGCUUAACCCCGGAACUGCUUUGGAAACUGUGCAGCUAGAGUGCAGGAGAGGUAAGUGGAAUUCCUAGUGUAGCGGUGAAAUGCGUAGAUAUUAGGAGGAACACCAGUGGCGAAGGCGGCUUACUGGACUGUAACUGACGUUGAGGCUCGAAAGCGUGGGGAGCAAACAGGAUUAGAUACCCUAGUAGUC
rnacentral:rRNA from 1 species